rnacentral:rRNA from 1 species
UCGCAUGGGCCUGUCCCGCGACAAACCAUUCAAGUUUCUGCCCCAUCAGCUUUCGAUGGUAGUGUAUUGGACUACCAUGGCUUUUACGGGUAACGGAGGAUUAGGGUUCGAUUCCGGAGAGGGAGCCUGAGAAACGGCUACCACAUCCAAGGAAGGCAGCAGGCGCGUAAAUUACCCAACCCUGACUCAGGGAGGUAGUGACAAGAAAUAACGGGCCGGGGUACGACCUCGGGACUGCAAUGAGACGAAUUUACACCCCUUAUCGAUCACCAAUUGGAGGGCAAGUCUGGUGCCAGCAGCCGCGGUAAUUCCAGCUCCAAUAGCGUAUAUUAAAGUUGUUGCAGUUAAAAAGCUCGUAGUUGGAUUUCUGGCAGGGGGCAACAGCCCGCUUGCAGCGUGUGCUUGCCGUCCCCUACCAUCCUUCUGUUAACGCGCCAGGACAUUCACUUGUCGGGCGCGGGCUCAGAUAAUUUACCUUGAGAAAAUUAGAGUGUUUCAGGCAGGCUGACGCCGGGAUACAUUAGCAUGGAAUAAUGGAAUAGGACUUUCGCCUCUUCUGUUGGUCUGAGGGGUGAUCGUAAUGAUUAAUAGGGAUAGUUGGGGGCAUUAGUACUUAACUGUCAGAGGUGAAAUUCUCGGAUUUGUUAAAGACUAACUUAUGCGAAAGCAUUUGCCAAGGAUGUUUUCAUUAAUCAAGAACGAAAGUUAGGGGAUCAAAGACGAUCAGAUACCGUCCUAGUCUUAACCAUAAACUAUGCCGACUCGGGAUCGGGGGCGAGAGUUAUCCGCCUUCGGCACCGUAUGAGAAAUCAAAGUCUUUGGGUUCUGGGGAGAGUAUGGUCGCAAGGCUGAAACUUAAAGGAAUUGACGGAAGGCACCACCAGGCGUGGAGCUUGCGGCUCAAUUUGACUCAACACGGGGAACUUACCAGUCCAGACAUAGU